AGACCCGAAACCCGGUGAUCUAGCCAUGGGCAGGUUGAAGGUUGGGUAACACUAACUGGAGGACCGAACCGACUAAUGUUGAAAAAUUAGCGGAUGACCUGUGGCUGGGGGUGAAAGGCCAAUCAAACCGGGAGAUAGCUGGUUCUCCCCGAAAGCUAUUUAGGUAGCGCCUCGUGAAUUCAUCUCCGGGGGUAGAGCACUGUUUCGGCUAGGGGGCCAUCCCGGCUUACCAACCCGAUGCAAACUGCGAAUACCGGAGAAUGUUAUCACGGGAGACACACGGCGGGUGCUAACGUCCGUCGUGAAGAGGGAAACAACCCAGACCGCCAGCUAAGGUCCCAAAGUCAUGGUUAAGUGGGAAACGAUGUGGGAAGGCCCAGACAGCCAGGAUGUUGGCUUAGAAGCAGCCAUCAUUUAAAGAAAGCGUAAUAGCUCACUGGUCGAGUCGGCCUGCGCGGAAGAUGUAACGGGGCUAAACCAUGCACCGAAGCUGCGGCAGCGACACUCAGGUGUUGUUGGGUAGGGGAGCGUUCUGUAAGCCUGCGAAGGUGGCCUGUGAGGGUUGCUGGAGGUAUCAGAAGUGCGAAUG
rnacentral:rRNA from 2 species